rnacentral:rRNA from 1 species
AGUGAGCGCUGGCGGUAUGCCUAAUACAUGCAAGUCGAACGGAAGCACAGUAAGCGUUUGCUCUUACGGGUGGCGAGUGGCGGACGGGUGAGGAAUACAUAGGAAUCCACUAUUUCGUGGGGGAUAUCGGAGAGAAAGAUACGCUAAUACCGAAUACGACCUACGGGUGAAAGCAGGGGAUCUUCGGAGCUUGCGCGUUUGAAUGAGACGAUGUCGGAUUAGCUAGUUGGCAGGGUAAAGGCACACCAAGGCGACGAUCCGUAGCUGGUCUGAGAGGAUGAUCGGCCACACUGGAACUGAGACACGGUCCAGACUCCUACGGGAGGCAGCAGUAGGGAAUAUUGCGCAAUGGGCGCAAGCCUGAUCCAGCCAUGCCGCGUGAGUGAAGAAGGCCUUCGGGUUGUAAAACCCUUUUAUUAGGAAAGAAAAACUGCGGAUGUAUAUCCGCCUGUUCUGACGGUACCCAAACAGUAAGCAACGGCUAACUUCGUG